rnacentral:rRNA from 1 species
UACGAAGGGGGCUAGCGUUGCUCGGAAUUACUGGGCGUAAAGCGCGUGUAGGCGGCUCUUCAAGUCAGGCGUGAAAGCCCCGGGCUCAACUCGGGAACUGCGCUUGAUACUGUCGAGCUAGAGUGUGGAAGGGGCGAUUGGAAUUCCGUGUGUAGCGGUGAAAUGCGUAGAUAUACGGAGGAACACCAGAGGCGAAGGCGGAUCGCUGGGCCAACACUGACGCUGAGACGCGAAAGCUAGGGUAGCAAACGGG